rnacentral:rRNA from 1 species
GACGAACGCUGGCGGCGUGCUUAACACAUGCAGGUCGAACCGAAAGGCCCUGCUUGCAGGGUGCUCGAGUGGCGAACGGGUGAGUAACACGUGGGUGAUCUGCCCCUUACUUUGGGAUAAGCCUGGGAAACUGGGUCUAAUACUGGAUAGGACCAUGCUGUAGGUGGUGUGGUGGAAAGAUUAGUUUCGGUAAGGGAUGAGCUCGCGGCCUAUCAGCUUGUUGGUGGGGUAAUGGCCUACCAAGGCGUCGACGGGUAGCCGGCCUGAGAGGGUGGACGGCCACAUUGGGACUGAGAUACGGCCCAGACUCCUACGGGAGGCAGCAGUGGGGAAUAUUGCACAAUGGGCGCAAGCCUGAUGCAGCGACGCCGCGUGGGGGAUGACGGCCUUCGGGUUGUAAACUCCUUUCAGCCAUGACGAAGCCCUUGUGGUGACGGUAGUGGUAGAAGAAGCACCGGCUAACUACGUG